GGUGGCUCAGUGGUAGAGCACUUGCCUUGCAUGCAUGAGGACCUGGGUUCAAUUCCUCAGCACCA
rfam:Dipodomys ordii contig_43184, whole genome shotgun sequence.